rnacentral:rRNA from 1 species
GCCAGCAGCCAUAUCACUCUGCAACUCACAAAUGGCAACCCACUGAAGCUAAGCAGGUGUGAGCCUGGUCAGUACCUGGAUGGAAGACCUCCCAGGAAAAACUAAGGUUGCUGCUGGAA